UUUAAAGGCCACAGCUUAGUCAUCUGUCUUUUCAUUGUUUUUGUAAAAGGGCUACAUGCUGUGACUUUAGCCUCUUAGCCUCUCCUCCCUUGAAAAUAAUUUUUGUUCUCUUAUCAUGUAACAAACACUCCUUUGGUCUGUUAUUCAUUGGCAGAAAUAUUUGACUUAUCAGAAGCAGUCAGCUAGUGAUUGUGUUGGAUCAAAGUCAAACUAUACAGCAUUCAGUUACUAAACAGAACGCAGCUGGUUAGGAAAGAAGAAAUUGACAGGCAGUGAUUAGACUGGACAAAAUACAUCUCUGCAAGAUGUCGAGCAGAGAUUUCGCCCUAAGGACUCAAAGAACAGCCAGAUAAUUCCGUGGCAAAAUACUUGGAGAAGUCCUUUCUCCUUGUUGUGAGCUUUCUAGAACUACGCAAAAAUUCCUUUAACAACAACUGCAAGUAAAGAAACAUUGGAAGUUGUCUUGAAACAAACUUAAAGUCAUGCACUGAGAGAGCUCUCCUUCGCCCUUCCCCUCCCUUAAAGCUACAAAAUAGAUUCUUAUGGGGAAGAAAAUGAGACGAAUUGCCGGAAUAAAGGGAUAAAGCUCUAUAGAAAAUGUAUGGUCACCUAAUGUAAACGGGAGUUUUGACGGCAGCCAGUGUUUGCAAAAAACUUGCCUUAAGAGUUUAUGUUGUGACUUUGAACUGGAGGGUACCAAACAUCGUUUUCAAAUAAAUUUUUCAAUGAUAACCGCUCUGAAUGUACACGAUCAACUGUCGAUUCAUUCUUACCAGAUCAUUAUAAAAAUGGAAACUUUUCUCCUGACCCUUUUCACGAUCGUUUUUGAGCCAUUUUAACCCAGAGUAAGAAAAGGCCCGUCAUACUUCAGAAGUUCUGCUUCCCGACAUGCUCCGUGAAACCGAUUGGAAAUCAAAGGGGUGAAGUGAAACAUACUUAAUUUCAUUCGCACCAUCUUUCGUCCUCGCUGCUAAAAAUUGUGUUUUAGCGAACUCCCAAUCUCACCCAAAAUAGAUCUCAUUCGUCCGCUGGUUUAUUUCUCAGUCCAUAAAAAAUACCCUCGAAAGCUGUUUCAGCCCACGAAAACGGAGCAACAAUUUGAGAGCAUCAAGUGUAAUUGAGGUUUUUCUAGAUUUCGCAAUAGUUCGUGCCUUUUGUUUUCACUGUCUGUAUCAACAGAGGAACUCGCUUGGUCGUCUGAUUUGUCUACAGUGGGAUGUUGGAUUGCAUAUUAUCCUCUUCCAAAUAUUCUUUUCAGUUAAAUUUGAGAACUCGGAAGACAACUAUACUGUGCUGGUUGAUUAAGAAAAGGCUGCUUCCUCGACUUUUCCUGAAUUAUUGGGGAAUUUGAAAGACUAAGAGACUUGAGUUGAAAAGUGGCCGAUAAUUGAAAACAAUUGGGCAGUGCAAGACCCGGAACAAACUCGGAGACAACGGAAGCCGCUAAAGAAACGCUCCUAGAAACGAUCAUGAUUCCCGGACUUGCCUACUUUUUGAUCUGUUACGAGCCACUCUGUCAAUUUACCCUUGAUACGCAAUUAUAAAAUAUUUUCAAUAGUGAUCUUCGUUAUCUAGUUUUCAUCGUUUACUUCAGUUUUUCAUUUAUCCCCAGCAUAGAACAAAAGAAAUAAGUUCGUUUAACUGUUAAAACAGCGUUCUGAUAUUUUUUAAUGUACUUUGUAUCGGAAAGAGGUUAAGUGUACGAUGACAUUGUAAUACCCCUGUUCCGUCUUUUGGAAGUCCCCUCUCCCUACACUAUGUGUAUAUUUUAGAGUUUUCUUUCUUACAUCACUUUAAAAAUAUGCUUUAUAUAUGAUACAUGUAUAUUUCUACAAAUUAGAAAUGAAAAACCGAAAAGUCAA